rnacentral:sRNA from 1 species
AUAUCUCUCUGUACGGGAAGGAUGAGAAGCUUCGACUAAGGUUCGAUUCGAGCGUCAGCGAGAAAGCGUUGCCGCCGGCAACGACCCGAAGGGCGAAGCGCGCAGCGCUGAGUCAUCC